UACAGAGGGGGCAAGCGUUAAUCGGAAUUACUGGGCGUAAAGUGUGCGCAGGUGGCUUCGCAAGUCGAGUGUGAAAUCCCCGGGCUUAACCUGGGAAUUGCGCUCGAAACUACGGAGCUGGAGUAUGGCAGAGGGAGGUGGAAUUCCACGUGUAGCGGUGAAAUGCGUAGAGAUGUGGAGGAACACCAAUGGCGAAGGCAGCCUCCUGGGCCAAUACUGACACUCAUGCACGAAAGCGUGGGGAGCAAACAGG
rnacentral:rRNA from 1 species